rnacentral:lncRNA from 13 species
GUACAUGCAGUCUUCCGAGUUACUCGUCAGCCCUGAUGAUCCAUCGAAUAUACAGGAAUGUAUGAUAGAUGUAGAAUCACCAAGGUCGAUUUAGAAGUAAUCGAAGGCUGGAGGAAACAUAUGCAAUGUGUCGAACGCCACCAAAAACAAGAAAAAAA